GACGUAGGGCGCGAGCGUUGUCCGGAUUUAUUGGGCGUAAAGAGCUCGUAGGCGGCUUGUCGCGUCGACCGUGAAAACUCGCAGCUCAACUGCGAGCCUGCGGUCGAUACGGGCAGGCUAGAGUUCGGUAGGGGAGACUGGAACUCCUGGUGUAGCGGUGAAAUGCGCAGAUAUCAGGAGGAACACCGAUGGCGAAGGCAGGUCUCUGGGCCGAUACUGACGCUGAGGAGCGAAAGCGUGGGGAGCGAACAGG
rnacentral:rRNA from 1 species